AUGCUCACCUUGGCAACACAAAUGCUACAAUCAGAAUGAUACAGAGGAGAUUAGCAUGUUUUCUACAGAAGGGUGACAUGAAAGACUGUGACAUAUUCAAUAUUUUU